rnacentral:tRNA from 2 species
AUGGACGUAGCUCAGCGGCCAGAGCAGCGGUCUCCAAAACCGCGUGUCGCAGGUUCGAGUCCUGCCGUCCGUGC